rnacentral:rRNA from 1 species
UACGAAGGGUGCAAGCGUUGUUCGGAAUUACUGGGCGUAAAGGGCUCGUAGGCGGCCAACUAAGUCGGAUGUGAAAUCCCCAGGCUUAACCUGGGAACUGCAUCCGAUACUGGAUGGCUUGAAUCCGGGAGAGGGAUGCAGAAUUCCAGGUGUAGCGGUGAAAUGCGUAGAUAUCUGGAGGAAUACCGGUGGCGAAGGCGGCAUCCUGGACCGGCAUUGACGCUGAUGAGCGAAAGCUAGGGGAGCAAACGGG